GUUUAAAUUAAUUUUAAGUAUACAAGAGUCCUUACCUAGUGCUACAAUAAUAUUAAAAAAUGCAUAUAUAAUAAAUAAAACGCAUAAACUUUUUAAGGUAAAACGGUAAAUGCCACAAUACUGCUGACUGCCGCUGCAAUAGCUCCGACCACAAAUCCUGGUAAGUUUCCAUCUCCAAAUAACGCAUCAAUAGGACCAACUCCAAACGAUACAAUCAUUUGUGGUAUGACAAUUGCCAUGUUUAAAACUCCUAGAGAAAGUCCUGCAAAGAUGACAACAAAAAAGACACAUCAUUAUUAAUUU
rnacentral:sRNA from 1 species